rnacentral:rRNA from 1 species
AGAGCGAACGCUGGCGGCAGGCCUAACACAUGCAAGUCGAGCGCCCCGCAAGGGGAGCGGCAGACGGGAGAGUAACACGUGGGAACGUACCCUUUGGUUCGGAACAACACAGGGAAACUUGCGCUAAUACCGGAUAAGCCCUUACGGGGAAAGAUUUAUUGCCAAAGGAUCGGCCCGCGUCUGAUUAGCUUGUUGGUGAGGUAACGGCUCACCAAGGCUACGAUCAGUAGCUGGUCUGAGAGGAUGAUCAGCCUCACUGGGACUGAGACACGGCCCAGACUCCUACGGGAGGCAGCAGUGGGGAAUAUUGGACAAUGGGCGCAAGCCUGAUCCAGCCAUGCCGCGUGGAUGAUGAAGGCCCUAGGGUUGUAAAGUCCUUUCGACGGGGAAGAUAAUGACGGUACCCGUAGAAGAAGCCCCGGCUAACUUCGUGCCAGCAGCCGC